GUUUGCAGCUGUGCCCAGCUGUGCCCGGUUGGAUUUCAGGGUUAUUCACGGCUGUGCCGAGGUUUCCGUGGGCAGACAGGGCUGUGCUGAGCUCUGCACGGGGAUUUCAUGGCUGUUCAUGGUUUUACAUGGCUGUUCAUGGUUUUACAUGGCUGUUCAUGGCUGUUCAUGGCUGUUCAUGGCUGUUCAUGGUUUUACAUGGCUGUUCAUGGCUGUUCAUGGCUGUUCAUGGCUGUUCAUGAUUGUGCACGGCUGUACAUGGCUGUACAUGCCUGUACAUGGUUGUUCAUGGCUAUACACAGUUGUUCAUGGCUGUUCAUGGUUGUUCACAGCUGCUCAUGGUAACACACUGUUGUUCAUGCCUGUUCAUGCCUGUUCAUGCCUGUUCAUGGCUGUUCACAGUUGUUCAUGGUCGUUCCUGGUUGUUCAUGCCUGUACAUGGCUGUUCAUGGUUGUUCAUGCCUGUACAUGGCUGCUCAUGGCUGCUCAUGGUUGUUCAUGGUUGUUCACAGUUGUUCAUGGUUGUUCAUGCCUGUACAUGCUUUUUCACGGCUGUUCACGGUUGUUCAUGCCUGUACAUGGCUGUUCAUGGCUGCUCACGGUUGUUCAUGGCUGUUCACAGUUGUUCAUGGUUGUUCAUGCCUGUACAUGGUUUUUCAUGGUUGCUCAUGCUUGUACAUGGCUGUUCAUGGCUGCUCAUGGCUGCUCAAGCUUUUUCAUACCUGUACACAGUUGUUCAUGGUAGCACAUGGCUGUUCACGCCUGUACAUGGCUGUCCACAGUUGUUCAUGGGGGUUUUUUAUGGUUGUUCAUGCUUGUUCACGGCUGUUCAUGGUUGUACGUGGUUGUUCAUGGUAGCACACGGUUGUUCAUGGCUGUACAGGGCUGUUCAUGGUUGUUCAUGGCUGUUCAUGGCUGUACACAGUUGCUCACAGUUGUUCAUGGCAGCACACGGUUGUUCAUGGCUGUUCAUGCCUGUACAUGUUUGUUCAGAGUUCUUCAUGGCUGUUCAUGGCUGUUGAUGCCUGUACAUGGUUUUCCAUGGCUGUCCAUGCC
rnacentral:lncRNA from 1 species